UGGGGAAUAUUGGACAAUGGGCGAAAGCCUGAUCCAGCAAUGCCGCGUGAGUGAUGAAGGCCUUAGGGUUGUAAAGCUCUUUUACCCGGGAUGAUAAUGACAGUACCGGGAGAAUAAGCUCCGGCUAACUCCGUGCCAGCAGCCGCGGUAAUACGGAGGGAGCUAGCGUUGUUCGGAAUUACUGGGCGUAAAGCGCACGUAGGCGGCUUUGUAAGUUAGAGGUGAAAGCCUGGAGCUCAACUCCAGAAUUGCCUUUAAGACUGCAUCGCUCGAAUCCAGGAGAGGUGAGUGGAAUUCCGAGUGUAGAGGUGAAAUUCGUAGAUAUUCGGAAGAACACCAGUGGCGAAGGCGGCUCACUGGACUGGUAUNACGCUGAGGUGCGAAAGCGUGGGGAGCAAACAGGAUUAGNUACCCUGGUAGUCCACGCCGUAAACGAUGAUAACUAGCUGUCCGGGAAACUUGGUUCUUGGGUGGCGCAGCUAACGCAUUAAGUUAUCCGCCUGGGGAGUACGGCCGCAAGGUUAAAACUUAAAGGAAUUGACGGGGUCAUAGCUGUUUCCU
rnacentral:rRNA from 1 species